rnacentral:rRNA from 1 species
CUGGCGGCGCGCCUAACACAUGCAAGUCGAACGGAACUCUAUCUGGAAGUUUCGGAUGGAAGGGACAGAGUUAGUGGCGGACGGGUGAGUAACACGUGAGCAACCUGCCUAUCAGAGGGGGAUAACGAUUGGAAACGAUCGCUAAUACCGCAUAACACAGCGAGAGGACAUCCUUUUGCUGUCAAAGAUUUAUCGCUGAUAGAUGGGCUCGCGGCCGAUUAGAUAGUUGGUGAGGUAAUGGCUCACCAAGUCGACGAUCGGUAGCCGGACUGAGAGGUCGAACGGCCACAUUGGGACUGAGACACGGCCCAGACUCCUACGGGAGGCAGCAGUGGGGGAUAUUGCACAAUGGGGGGAAACCCUGAUGCAGCGACGCCGCGUGUAGGAAGACGGUCCUAUGGAUUGUAAACUACUGUCUUCGGGGACGAAAAAAGACGGUACCCGAGGAGGAAGCCACGGCUAACUACGUGCCAGCAGCCGC